rnacentral:rRNA from 1 species
AAUGGGCGGAAGCCUGAACCAGCCAUGCCGCGUGCAGGAAGAAUGCCCUACGGGUUGUAAACUGCUUUUCCCCGGGAAGAAUAAGGCCCCUGCGGGGGUCGAUGCCGGUACCGGGGGAAUAAGGAUCGGCUAACUCCGUGCCAGCAGCCGCGGUAAUACGGAGGAUCCUAGCGUUAUCCGGAUUUACUGGGUUUAAAGGGUGCGUAGGCGGCCCUGCAAGUCAGCGGUGAAAUGUGGCGGCUCAACCGUUUCGCUGCCGCUGAUACUGUGGGGCUUGGAUGCGGUCGAGGCGGGUGGAAUUCGUGGUGUAGCGGUGAAAUGCAUAGAUAUCACGAGGAACGCCGAUAGCGAAGGCAGCUCGCCGGGCCGCGAUCGACGCUGAGGCACGAAAGCGUGGGGAUCAAA